rnacentral:rRNA from 1 species
GACGAACGCUGGCGGCGUGCUUAACACAUGCAAGUCGAACGGAAAGGCCCUGCUUUUGUGGGGUGCUCGAGUGGCGAACGGGUGAGUAACACGUGAGUAACCUGCCCUUGACUUUGGGAUAACUUCAGGAAACUGGGGCUAAUACCGGAUAGGAGCUCCUGCUGCAUGGUGGGGGUUGGAAAGUUUCGGCGGUUGGGGAUGGACUCGCGGCUUAUCAGCUUGUUGGUGGGGUAGUGGCUUACCAAGGCUUUGACGGGUAGCCGGCCUGAGAGGGUGACCGGCCACAUUGGGACUGAGAUACGGCCCAGACUCCUACGGGAGGCAGCAGUGGGGAAUAUUGCACAAUGGGCGGAAGCCUGAUGCAGCAACGCCGCGUGCGGGAUGACGGCCUUCGGGUUGUAAACCGCUUUCGCCUGUGACGAAGCGUGAGUGACGGUAAUGGGUAAAGAAGCACCGGCUAACUACGUGCCAGCAGCCGCGGUGAUACGUAGGGUGCGAGCGUUGUCCGGAUUUAUUGGGCGUAAAGGGCUCGUAGGUGGUUGAUCGCGUCGGAAGUGUAAUCUUGGGGCUUAACCCUGAGCGUGCUUUCGAUACGGGUUGACUUGAGGAAGGUAGGGGAGAAUGGAAUUCCUGGUGGAGCGGUGGAAUGCGCAGAUAUCAGGAGGAACACCAGUGGCGAAGGCGGUUCUCUGGGCCUUUCCUGACGCUGAGGAGCGAAAGCGUGGGGAGCGAACAGGCUUAGAUACCCUGGUAGUCCACGCUGUAAACGGUGGGUACUAGGUGUGGGGUCCAUUCCACGGGUUCCGUGCCGUAGCUAACGCUUUAAGUACCCCGCCUGGGGAGUACGGCCGCAAGGCUAAAACUCAAAGGAAUUGACGGGGCCCCGCACAAGCGGCGGAGCAUGCGGAUUAAUUCGAUGCAACGCGUAGAACCUUACCUGGGUUUGACAUGGAUCGGGAGUGCUCAGAGAUGGGUGUGCCUCUUUUGGGGUCGGUUCACAGGUGGUGCAUGGCUGUCGUCAGCUCGUGUCGUGAGAUGUUGGGUUAAGUCCCGCAACGAGCGCAACCCUUGUUCACUGUUGCCAGCACGUUAUGGUGGGGACUCAGUGGAGACCGCCGGGGUCAACUCGGAGGAAGGUGGGGAUGACGUCAAGUCAUCAUGCCCCUUAUGUCCAGGGCCUCACGCAUGCUACAAUGGCUGGUACAGAGAGUGGCGAGCCUGUGAGGGUGAGCGAGUCUCGGAAAGCCGGUCUCAGUUCGGAUUGGGGUCUGCAACUCGACCUCAUGAAGUCGGAGUCGCUAGUAAUCGCAGAUCAGCAACGCUGCGGUGAAUACGUUCCCGGG